rnacentral:rRNA from 1 species
CAGAAUAAAUACGCAGAUGGCGUGGACUCACCCCGGCCACAUAUCCUUCAAGUGUCUGCCUUAUCCAUUGUCUAAGGUAGUUUAUACGACUACCUUGGUGGUCACGGAUAACAGAAAAUUUGGGUUCUAUUCCAGAGAGGGAGCCAGAAAAACGGCUACCACAUCCAAGGAGGGCAGCAGGCGCGCAUAUUACCCACUCUCAGCUCGAGGAGGUAGUGACGAAAAAUAACGAGACAGUUCUCUAUGAGGUCUGUCAUCGGAAUGGGUACAAUCUAAACCCUUUAACGAGGAUCAAUUGGAGGGCAAGUCUGGUGCCACCACCCGCGUUAAUUCCAGCUCCAAUAGCGUAUAUUAUAGUUGUUGCGGUAAAAAAG